rnacentral:rRNA from 1 species
GAGACCCACGCCCACAGUUGCCAGCGUACUCUCCGGAGUGACGGGUACACUGUGGGGACCGCCGCUGCUAAAGCGGAGGAAGGAAUGGGCAACGGUAGGUCAGUAUGCCCCGAAUAUCCCGGGCUACACGCGAGCUACAAUGGUUGGUACAAUGGGUAUCUACCCCGAAAGGGGAUGGAAAUCUCCUAACGCCAAUCUUAGUUCGGAUCGAGGGCUGCAACUCGCCCUCGUGAAGCUGGAAUCCGUAGUAAUCGCACAUCAACAGAGUGCGGUGAAUAC